AGGGAAGGGGAGGGGACAGGGGACAGGUGAGAGAGGAGGAGAGGGGAGGGGAGGAGAGGGAAGAAAGGAAGAAAGAAAGAAGGAAGAGAGAGAAGAGAAGGGGAGAAGGAAAAGCAGCUUUAAAUUUGUUGGAGUAGAAGGUCUCUUUAAAUUCCCAUCUUGGACUGUAUAACCCUAUUUCCUUUGGUUUUCUCUUUCUAGGGGUGGCAACAUCAAGGGUUUUGUUGCUUCAGACUGGUUCCUAAAAUGAGAGAUCAACUACAAACCCAAGCCUGAAGCAGAGGAAUGAAAACGGGUUACCACAUGUGGCAGCACCACCACAGAAGAAAUGAAACUCUUCUUGAGUGAGUCUCAGAAUGUCUUUUCCACUUUGUCCUGACAUUCACAGAGGUUGCCUGCUACCCUGAACUUGCAAUCAGCAAGCGUUUCAGAAGCCCUUCUAGCCCGUUGCCCUUCCAGACAAAGAAGAGAAGCACAGACAGUUUAAAUGAUCUGCCUAAAUUCACCAGCUAAUUAGCGGCAGAGCCAAGAUCUGAAGUCAGGCAGUCUGGCUGCAGGCCCCAACCAUGCUGAAAUGCCUCCAAAAGUCUAGGAAGAAAAUGUGGCGCACCCAGACCUUGAGGAUACUGCGGAAGUUUCCCCCUCCUGGCAAGCAGUCCCACACCACCAGGCUAGCGUUCUUUAGAAUGACAAUAAAUGCAGUAUUUAAAGAAAUGAGAUACAAGUGAAAUGCUACGGUUAGAAAUUCUUUGACUAACAAUCUGAGAGAAGGAACAUUUGAAGGUCAUAGAUUAAUUGUCCAUGGAUAACAUCAGUGGAAGUUUCAAAAUAGACAAAGGGCUCUUAUGCUUCAAACUCGAUGAAAAACUCUGUCUUUUCAAGGUGAAUCUAGUUCCUCUGCAUUUUGUGAAAACUUUUUGUGCUCCUAAAGUAAGUUUUCGUUCCUGAAAAUUUCUUAAAACUUCAAACUACUGGGGGGCCGGCCUGGUGGCACAGUGGUUAAGUUCAUAGUCUCCACUUCAGCUGCCCGGGGUUCACAGUUCAGAUGCCAGGCGUGGACGUAGCACCGCUCAUCAAGCCAUGCUGUGGCAGCAUCCCACAUAAAAUAGAGGACGAUUGGCACGGACGUUAGCUCAGCAAUAAUGUUCCUCAAACAAAAAGAGGAAGAUUGGCAACAGAUGUUAGCUCAGGGCCAAUCUUCCUCACACACACACACAUACACACACAAACACAUAAAAUUCAAACAACUGAAAAAGUAAAAUAGGGAGCAUUCAAAAGUGGAAAAACUUAACUUGAUGUGCAAACAUAGAAAAUGUCACCAUUAAUUAGCAAAAUAAAAAUCUUACCUUAGAAAAACAAACAUAUCCAUAUUACAAAAGAUAGUACACAAAUCUGAAGCUGCAUAUGAAAUGAUUCAUUCUGCUUACCUGUCUAAAAAAGGGUGCAUGUUUCAAAAUGUUACCUUAGAGACUGAUUUAAAAUGGCACAUCUGGCACUACACUGGACAACUGUAAUCCACACGAGCUAUUUAAAAGUAAUCAUAACACCCUUUAGAGAAUUUGACUUUGGAAAUUACGUUAUCCUCAAGUCUAUAUCAAUUAACUACUUUCUUUUGUCUGAAGGCUUUGGGAGGCCUGAAGUUUUACAAUCUGGGAGCCCCUCUUUCAAGAAAAAAGUAACAGACAUAGAAUUUUGUACAAAAGGGAACAUUUGUUUAGAAUUAGAAAGGAAAUCACAACACAUUACAGAUUCUAAAAAGCUGAAAAAUACAACAAAAACUUCACAAAAAUUGAGACAAAUAAUAUUUAUGUCUAUCUGAUAAUUACCAUAAUACAUGGUUUCCAAUAUUUUUUAGCUGCAUACUCUUACCACUUCUUAAAAUAUCAAUUAUUUGAAAUAUCAUUCCCUAUAGAGACAAGAAAGCUAACUUAGUCUUUUUUCUACCACGUCAACCUUCAAAAAGACUCAUUCAAGUGAGGGGACCCAAAGUUUAAGCUUCAGUAUUUUCAUCAUAACUUUACCUCUGCUUUGGACAUAUGUUGUCAAAUGGCUUUGAAAUAU
ensembl:lncRNA